rnacentral:rRNA from 1 species
GAUGAACGCUAGCGGCAGGCUUAAUACAUGCAAGUCGAGGGGCAGCGCAGUGUAGCAAUACAUGGGCGGCGACCGGCAAACGGGUGCGGAACACGUACACAACCUUCCUACAAGUGGGGAAUAGCCCAGAGAAAUUUGGAUUAAUACCCCGUAACAUAGCGAUGUGGCAUCACAUUGCUAUUAUAGCUUCGGCGCUUGUUGAUGGGUGUGCGGCUGAUUAGAUAGUUGGCGGGGUAACGGCCCACCAAGUCUACGAUCAGUAGCUGAUGUGAGAGCAUGAUCAGCCACACGGGCACUGAGACACGGGCCCGACUCCUACGGGAGGCAGCAGUAAGGAAUAUUGGACAAUGGACGCAAGUCUGAUCCAGCCAUGCCGCGUGAAGGAUUAAGGUCCUCUGGAUUGUAAACUUCUUUUAUAAGGGACGAAAAAAGGUCUUUCUAGAUCGUCUGACGGUACCUUAUGAAUAAGCACCGGCUAACUCCGUGCCAGCAGCCGCUGUAACAC